rnacentral:rRNA from 1 species
AUUGAACGCUGGCGGCAGGCCUAACACAUGCAAGUCGAGCGGAUGAAGGGAGCUUGCUCCUGGAUUCAGCGGCGGACGGGUGAGUAAUGCCUAGGAAUCUGCCUGGUAGUGGGGGAUAACGUCCGGAAACGGGCGCUAAUACCGCAUACGUCCUGAGGGAGAAAGCGGGGGAUCUUCGGACCUCACGCUCUCAGAUGAGCCUAGGUCGGAUUAGCUAGUUGGUGGGGUAAAGGCCUACCAAGGCGACGAUCCGUAACUGGUCUGAGAGGAUGAUCAGGCACACUGGAACUGAGACACGGUCCAGACUCCUACGGGAGGCAGCAGUGGGGAAUAUUGGACAAUGGGCGAAAGCCUGAUCCAGCCAUGCCGCGUGUGUGAAGAAGGUCUUCGGAUUGUAAAGCACUUUAAGUUGGGAGGAAGGGCAGUAAGUUAAUACCUUGCUGUUUUGACGUUACCAACAGAAUAAGCACCGGCUAACUUCGUG